AUUCAAAUAGCUUAUAAAUAGAGUAUAAUAUUGAAGAUAUUAGGGAGAUUAUUAAUCUUUGAAUA
rnacentral:tRNA from 1 species